rnacentral:snRNA from 1 species
GCAGUUUGGCUGUGCUAUCUGUCACCCCACUGAUAGCCGGGGUUGGUUUGGCUGAUCUGGCUGCCUAGGUGGGUGCUCCCUUCCUC